rnacentral:lncRNA from 1 species
AAGAUUACACGAACAGGAAAGAAAACAGAGAAGAUGAAGAAACAAGCUUGACAAAGAUGAAGAAUCAAAAGGAACGAUCUUGAGCUUCUGUAUUCAGUUCUUUCUCAAGAAAAAGAGAGAGAGAAAUUUCAUAAAGUGUAUCACAUCUUCGUUCUUUGUACAAUUCAGUAUUUAUAUGUGAGCGAACAACAAAACUUGUACAACUGUUUUAACAGAAAUGAAAAACAGAAGAAGGGAAAAUAACAGAACACGGAAAGUAUUCAGUUUUGACUUAAAACUGAA